GGAAUAUAAGAAACUGUCUCUUAACUUUUAAUUAAAAAAGUUAAGAACCGGCUUUUAAAUAAGAGUUUUAAGGCCGAUUCUUAGCUUUUUAGUUAAAAGUUAAGAGACAGGUUCUUAUAUUCC
rfam:Brassica napus, WGS project CCCW01000000 data, contig: 13069